AAAACAACAACGUAGGGGGCAAGCGUUGUCCGGAAUUACUGGGCGUAAAGGGCGUGUAGGCGGCAAUGUAAGUCAGGAGUGAAACCCGUCGGCUUAACCGACGGCCUGCUUCUGAAACUGCAUAGCUUGAGUGCAGGAGAGGGAAGUGGAAUUCCCAGUGUAGCGGUGAAAUGCGUAGAUAUUGGGAGGAACACCAGUGGCGAAGGCGACCACCUGGCCAAAUACUGACGCUGAGGUGCGAAAGCGUGGGGAGCAAACAGG
rnacentral:rRNA from 1 species